rnacentral:rRNA from 1 species
UACGAAGGGGGCUAGCGUUGCUCGGAUUGACUGGGCGUAAAGGGCGCGUAGGCGGUUCGUAUAGUCAGACGUGAAAUUCCUGGGCUCAACCUGGGGGCUGCGUUUGAUACGUGCGGACUUGAGUGCGGAAGAGGGUCGUGGAAUUCCCAGUGUAGAGGUGAAAUUCGUAGAUAUUGGGAAGAACACCGGUGGCGAAGGCGGCGACCUGGUCCUUGACUGACGCUGAGGCGCGAAAGCGUGGGGAGCAAACAGG